rnacentral:lncRNA from 1 species
AAGGUGCUCGGCAAGGGGAUGCUGCCGGAGAAGCCCAUCGUCGUCAAGGCCAAGCUCAUCUCCAAGAUCGCCGAAAAGAAGAUCAAGGCCGCCGGCGGCGCAGUCGUGCUCGUUGCCUAGGGUUCUGUUCCCGACCGUGCCCCGAGAUCUAUAUCUGAACUAUUAGUUGUUUCCCGUACCAGCAAUUUGUGUUGAAGAAGACAUCGUUAGUUUGUUAUCCUGGUUCCUGUGUGGUAAACCAACAUCUUAUGAGAAUUUUGCGCUAUGUUAUGCCAGUUUAUAUCAGACGAGUUAUCCAUAUCUGUGCUCCUAUUUAUGCUUCGUUUGAUCUGUGUUAAUCGUUAUCGACCCCUAAUGCAUAUACUGUUAUUUUGCAUGGUGCAUCACUAUAAGAUUCUAUGCCUGCUAGUCAUGUUAACUGUGAUUCUGUGCCUGCUAGUCAUGUGAGAUUUGCACUGCCAGUUUAUAUCAACUAUUGUUUAUGCUUUGUUUGAUCUUUGUCUUUACUGAUUUACUGAUACCUUAUGCCUAUUCUGUUACUUGUCAUAGUGCAUUACUACAGGAUUUGUAGUAUUUCUUGCAGUCAUAGUUAACUAUGAAUUGUAUGAUAGUGAUUUGCUUGUUGAUUACAUUGAAGUUUAUGUCUGUAAGAGGUUGUUUGUAGCCAUACUAGUUAACAUGAUCUGGGUCCUAGUGUUGCCCAGGAGCUAGUUGGGCCAGCAAAUUUCCCUCUUGUACUAGUAUUUAUCUUUGGAAUUUCUAGCAGGUACUUGCAGAUUGCAUCUUCCUUUUAAAUUUACACUAGUUUAGUGCAACCUCAAUAGUUAAAUAAACACCUGGGAGUAAGCUAUCGUGCUGUCAUUGUUGUGCUGUUGAGUGAAGUACUGACAUCCAUUUGCAUCUUUGCUGAAAGGGCUACUUGUUCUUUGAGCAAUCUUCCUUUGAUCCCUUCUGUCUCCUUCGUUUUUGCUAGAACAAAGAUGUUAAUUCUUUAGGAGUGUUUUAUUUGUUUUUGCUUGCUGUGGCACUUGACCACCUGUUUUAUCUGUUGAGCUUUGUUAUUCAAGCAUUUGUUACUGUAUUUCCCAGAGUGCAUUAGUACAAGAUUACGUUUCUGCUAGUUUCGUUCGGAUGUUUAUAGACUACUCCGUAUGUUCAGGUUCAUGUAGUCAUACAUCUGUUCGCCCAUAUAGUUGUGCCAGCAAAUUUUCCUGUCAAUAGUCCUACCUUUGGACAGGCUCUUGCAGUGUUAGGUUUUAUCUUUUUAAUUUUACUCUAUUUGGCUUGUUUAGUGCCACAUCCUGACUUCAAGAAACAUGACGUGUUAAGCCAUUGUGUUGUCUUAAUAUGUUGAAGUUCUUAAUCGGUGCUUGCAAAGCAAUUGAAACUAUCCAAACGUGCUUUUCUGUGUAUGUAUAUUCAUUUGCCUCUUUGCUAAAAUAGCUAGAUGUUCAUAUUAUCUUUGUAGGUGUUACUUGUGGAAUCAUGUUUGUUGUGUUUGCUUGUUGCUCGAUUGAUCUUUAGGGCUCCUUUGUUUCAAAGGAUUUUAUAGGAAUUUUGGAUUAUUUGAGUUCCAAGGGAUUUUUUCUCCGUUGGUUGUUUGAUUCAGAUGAUUGAAUCCUAAUAGGGUUUAUUUGUACUACUUCCCAUAGGAUUUCUAGGAUCGAUAUGAACCUUUUUAAAUAGUCCUUUGCCUUUGUUUUUCGUAUGAUGCACUCAAACGACCGGGAUUGAGAUGAGCAUGACAAUUCAAUUCUACGUAUUUCGUAUUUCCUGUGUUUCCAGAAUCCCGCGAAUCAAAUAGUCUGUUUCUUUGAAAAUUGUGGUUUGUAUAGAUUUGGUGCAAUGAAAUUUUAAAUGAAGCCGUCGCUUUUGUAUUGCAUCGGAAGUAUCAUAUACCUACAAUGGUGUUGAUACAGCUUCCAUAAGUACCAUAUCAGUACAGAUGGUGUUGAUACAUUUGCCGCUCCCUUAAUUUGUUUGCCCACGCACGUCGCCUGAAUCUGUUGUGCACAACUGACUCCCGUGCCCUCUAGUAUUCCACCACUCUGCCGGCCAUCGGAGGCACAACAUCCAUCAGUUUCAGUUGAUUGACAAGCGAGUUUUUGGGUCAUUUUCUCCGGCCCGUUGCCAUCGAUCGAAAGAAACAUUGGCGCCGUGACACGAGACGGUGAGUAGAACAAACGCAUCAGCUGUUGGUCCGUGCCGCCAAUGCCUGCUUUGCCCAAUCGGCAAGCGAUCCCUCGUCCACACGCACAAGGAACCCUCCGUUUGACAUGCGUGCGCCCCGCCCCGUCGUAUGCGGCCCUCCGUGACACGGGGGAAGUGGCACGUUUAAGCACGAGGCACCCUCACGUUGAUGCAUAUCACUUCCGUGGUACGUGGACAGAAGGAACAUGUCUCACGGUUGUUAGGUGGAGGAAUUCAGAAUUUUCUGUAUAACGAUGAUAUCUUAGGAUUGGUGAGCUUAACGAGAGAUAAUAAUUAAUAAGAAAAAGGUUGUAUUUUUUCUUAAUUAGGAUAGAAUCUCUUAGCAAUAAUAUCUAUCACCCCUCGCCACAUAUUUAGAAAUAUUUAGUUAUCAAAGAAAAGACUAGUGCCAUGUAUUUUUUUAUUUUUUAUUUAGAUUACGUGACGGGUUUGAUAUAAGACUAUCUUACUUGCCCUUAUAGAAAACGUUGAAAAGAACAUUUAAAUACUCCGAUGAACAAAUACCUUCAUGCGCCCUCCACGGGCACUAAGUGCACCGAUGGAACAUGGAUAGGACGGGCAGGCCAUUAUUUCUAAACCGGGCAACGUCGUCGCCCCGCGGCCUCGACUAACACACAGAGAAUUUUAAAACCAGGCUAAAUAAAAACCAAGACGCUUAUGCCGCUGUAAGCCAAAUAUGAGCCAGAGGUCGAGCCAAACGCCAUCUAGGACCCUGUAUGCCGUCGGUGCAGGUAGCACCGCCUGUAAGUGUCCUCGGUUGAGAAUUGCCGCCGCUCGAACACAAAUCAACCGCUAUCACCAGCCUUGAUCUGCCGCAUCCGGCCAACCCGGUCGCAUGAACUCCAUGUGAACAGAUCAUCCCGCACCGCAGAUGCCACAUGGGUUUUGCUUGACGAUGGACUUUGGCAGCAGCGAGAGCGUAACGUUGGUGGCGGCUUAGGGCUUUAGAGUUCGUUGCGAGAUGUAAGGACGAGUGAAUCAGGUUAGGUAAUUACGGUCGGUGGAGCCCCGAAGCAGAAAUGAAUAUGACUUUGAACUACAUAAUUUCACAUGCUUAUGAACAUUACAUGUCUAAUAUAAAGUAUCAUGUCUAAUGAUGGUGUACCACAUUCCGAUGGGCAGGGAUAGGUUUGUGACAAUUCGGAUGAAAAUCUUGCUCGUCUUUGGCUGGUGCCACCCGUGACGGCCCCCUGUGGGUGUCGUUUCCCCUCCUUGAAGGCGUUGCUUUUUUUGGAGAUAGCGCCUUGGAGAUGUUGCUGUGGUGUGUCGACACCUCACUCUUUCUCACUUGAUUGGUUGUCUCUGGGCAAAAGCCUAGGUUCGGAUCCGGAUCGGUGAUGGCGGCAUCCUUGAUGUCGUUCUUCUGUUGGGAUCAUUGCUUUUGGAGGCACGACUUGGAGGUCCUAGUUUGCUUUCCUGUGGUCAGGGCCGUCUCCAGGAAUUCGGGACCCCGGUGCGAAAAGAAAAAUGGGGCCCUAAAUUAAAAAAAAUGCAAAUACGCAAGCAUAAUCACCUAAUUAUGUAAUUAAAAUUUAUGUUAUUUCAUACAAUGCUUAGAAUAUACUAAAGUAUCAAUGCGAAAUACUAAAACCAAUAAACUGACCUCAUGCUCUAUUGAAAAGUGUCAUCCGUCUUGUGUUCCUUGAAAUGAAAUCUUCAAUUACAUCUUCAUAUUUAAUCUUCUCCAAGACAUCAUUUUCAAGUGCUAUUGUUGCCAAACCAUUGAGUCUUUCUUGUGUCAUAGUUGAACGCAAAUAGGAUUUCAACAACUUGAGUUUAGAGAAGCUCCUUUCUGCAGUUGCAAUAGUUACAGGAAUGGUUAACAAAAUCCUGUACGCAAUAAUAGCAUUAGGAUAGAAGGGGCGCUUCAUCAGAAUCUCAAGAAUAUCAACAUGGCCCAUAGAUUUCUUAACUAAAUCCUGGAUGAAAAUUAACUCGUAAAACAAUUCAACUCCAUCAAUGUCUUUGUGUUCUCCACUCUUAAGGGCAUCCUCAAGAUUAACACAAGCAGCCAACAAACUCUUAUGAUCCAAAGAUCGCAGCCUAUCUGAAGUAAAUAAGAAACCAAAAGUUUUUUCAUACUCCUGAUAUUGCUCAAACCUCCUGGUAAGUGAAACUAUAGCUUGAUCGACCACUUCCAGAAAAUAAUUGACCCUAAAUGACUCCUCUGUAGAUUGUGAAACAAUAGAUGCAUCAUCUGCGCCCUCAUCGAAUUGUCUUCUUCUUUUGAUUUUCUGCUUGGUGCGGAACUCUAGAUGAAUAUCCAUCUCAUGUGCAAUUUCUUUUGCAGCUUCCAAUGCUUUUGAAAAGCCAAUUUCUCUAUACUUCUUGAAAAAUGAAAGCAGACCCUGUAUAGACUCAAUUGCAAUAUCAAUAAGCAUGUCCUUCGAUUGUAGCUGCUUGCUGACCAAAUUAACUGCGGAUAAUAUAUCAUACCUGAUAAUUAUUGACACUACAAAUUCAAAACCACCAAGUUCAUUUUCUGCCAAUGAUUGUGCUUCACUACUUGUCAAUGGAUCCUUAUCAGUUUCAACCACUUGUAGUAAAGCCUCCCUUAUUUCUGGCAUUUGAAUCCAUAUAGCCUUAACACUCUCAACAUGACUCUCCCAACGAGUAGAUGACAAUGACUUGACAGUCAACUUCUUAAGUUAUCUUUGAGAAUUUGCCAUCGUUUAGUCGAAUUAGCAAAUAUUGUAUAGAUGCGUUGUAUAACUCCAAAGAAGUGUGUUGCUUUAUGGCAAGACUUCGCCAUAUCGCACAGUGCCAGAUUUAGACUAUGACAACCACAAGCUAAAUAAAAUGCCCUUGGAUUUUUUUUCCAGAAAUUUAUUUUGUACCCCUUUAUUGUUUCAUUUCAUAUUUGACCCAUUAUCAUAACCCUGUCCUCUCACAUUGUCCACAUCAAGGCUAAGAUUAUUCAACUCCUCCUCUAGAACAUUAAACAAACCUUGCCCAGUGGUAUCAUUCACCUCCAAAAAGCCUAAAAAAGAUUCUUCGAUGCAUCUACAUAAUUAUCAAAGGCAUCUGCUCUUGGUGGCUUGCAUCAGGAGUACAAUCAAGAAUAACUGAGAAAUAUUUUGCUUCCUUUACCUUUUCAAUGAUUCUAGACCGAAUGGCAAUAGCGAGCAUAUUUAUUAACUCAUUCUGUAUAGAAGGGCCGAGGUAGUGAUCAAGAAUUUUAUCAUUGGUGAUGCGGUCAACAUGCUCUUUGAUAACUGGGUCAAAUUCAGCCAACAAUUCAACCAGUCCUAGGAAAUUCCCAUUGCUCUCUUGGUACAACUGUUGGAAAUAUGCCCUAGAGGCAAUAAUAAAUAGGUUAUUAUUAUAUUUCCUUGUUCAUGAUAAUCGUUUAUUAUCCAUGCUAGAAUUGUAUUGAUAGGAAACUCAGAUACAUGUGUGGAUGCAUAGACAACACCAUGUCCCCAGUAAGCCUCUAGUUGACUAGCUCGUUGAUCAAUAGAUGGUUACGGUUUCCUGACCAUGGACAUUGGAUGUCGUUGAUAACGGGAUCACAUCAUUAGGAGAAUGAUGUGAUGGACGAGACCCAAUCCUAAGCCUAGCACAAGAUCGUGUAGUUCGUUUGCUCAGAGCUUUUCUAAUGUCAAGUAUCAGUUCCUUAGACCAUGAGAUUGUGCAACUCCCGGAUACCGUAGGAAUGCUUUGGGUGUACCAAACGUCACAACGUAACUGGGUGGCUAUAAAGGUGCACUACAGGUAUUUCCGAAAGUGUCUGUUGGGUUGGCACGAAUCGAGACUGGGAUUUGUCACUCCGUGUAAACAGAGAGGUAUCUCUGGGCCCACUCGGUAGGACAUCAUCAUAAUGUGCACAAUGUGACCAAGGAGUUGAUCACGGGAUGAUGUGAGUUACGGAACGAGUAAAGAGACUUGCCGGUAACGAGAUUGAACAAGGUAUAGGGAUACCGACGAUCGAAUCUCGGGCAAGUAACAUACCGAUAGACAAAGGGAAUUGUAUACGGGAUUGAUUGAAUCCCCGACAUCGUGGUUCAUCCGAUGAGAUCAUCGUGGAAUAUGUGGGAGCCAACAUGGGUAUCCAGAUCCCGCUGUUGGUUAUUGACCGGAGAACGUCUCGGUCAUGUCUGCAUGGUUCCCGAACCCGUAGGGUCUACACACUUAAGGUUCGAUGACGCUAGGGUUAUAGGGAAAGUUUGUACGUGGUUACCGAAUGUUGUUCGGAGUCCCGGAUGAGAUCCCGGACAUCACGAGGAGUUCCGGAAUGGUCCGGAGGUAAAGAUUUAUAUAUGGGAAGUCCUGUUUUGGUCACCGAAAAAGUUUCGGGUGAUAUCGGUAAUGUACCGGGACCACCGGGAGGGUCCCGGGGGUCCACCAAGUGGGGCCACCGGCCCCAGAGGGCUGCAUGGGCCAAGUGUGGGAGGGGACCAGCCCCAGGUGGGCUGGUGCGCCCCCCACAAGAGGCCCAGGGCGCAGGAAAGGGGGGAAGGGGGAAACCCUAGGCUCAGAUGGGCCUAAGGCCCAUCUAGUGGGGCGCCCCCUCUCUCUCCCCCUUUGGCCGCCCCCCAAGCCCCAUCUAGGGCUGGCCGCACCCCUUGGGGGGGGGGGGAACCCUAGAUGGGGGCGCAGCCCUUCCCCUCCCCUAUAUAUAUUGGGGUUUUGGGGCUGCCCAAGACACGAGAACGUCUCUCUUUCGGUGUAGCCCUACCCCUCUCCCUCCUCCUCCUCUCCCGCGGUGCUUGGCGAAGCCCUGCGGGAUUGCCACGCUCCUCCACCACCACCACGCCGUCGUGCUGCUGCUGGAUGGAGUCUUCCCCAACCUCUCCCUCUCUCCUUGCUGGAUCAAGGCGUGGGAGACGUCACCGGGCUGCACGUGUGUUGAACGCGGAGGCACCGUUCUUCGGUGCUUAGAUCGGAAUCAACCGCGAUCUGAAUCGCUACGAGUACGAUUCCCGCAUCCGCAUUCUUGCAACGCUUCCGCAUCGCGAUCUACAAGGGUAUGUAGAUCCACUCCCCUUCCCCUCGUUGCUAGAGUACUCCAUAGAUUGAUCUUGGUGAUGCGUAGAAAAUUUUGAAUUUUUGUUCCCCAACAGUGGCAUCAUGAGCUAGGUCUAUGCGUAGUUUCUAUGCACGAGUAGAACACAAAGUAGUUGUGGGCGUAGAUGUUGCCAAUUCUUCUUGCCGCUACUAGUCUUAUCUUGUUUCGGCGGCAUUGUGGGAUGAAGCGGCCCGGACCGACCUUACACGUACGCUUACGUGAGACAGGUUCCACCGACUGACAUGCACUAGUUGCAUAAGGUGGCUAGCGGGUGUCUGUCUCUCCCACUUUAGUCGGAACGGAUUCGAUGAAAAGGGUCCUUAUGAAGGGUAAAUAGAAAUUGGCAUAUCACGUUGUGGUUUUACGUAGGUAAGAAACGUUGUUGCUAGAAACCUAUACAAGCCACGUAAAAACUUGCAACAACAAUUAGAGGACGUCUAACUUGUUUUUGCAGCAUGUGCUAUAUGAUGUGAUAUGGCCAGAAGAUGUGAUGAAUGAUAUAUGUGAUGUAUGAGAUUGAUCAUAUUCUUGUAAUAGGAAUCACGACUUGCAUGUCGAUGAGUAUGACAACCGGCAGGAGCCAUAGGAGUUGUCUUUAUUUUUUGUAUGACCUGCGUGUCAUUGAAUAACGCCAUGUAAAUUACUUUACUUUAUUGCUAAGCGCGUUAGCCAUAGAAGUAGAAGUAAUCGUUGGCGUGACAACUUCAUGAAGACACAAUGAUGGAGAUCAUGGUGUCAUGUCGGUGACAAAGACGAUCAUGGUGCCCCGAAGAUGGAGAUCAAAGGAGCAAAAUGAUAUUGGCCAUAUCAUGUCACUAUUUGAUUGCAUGUGAUGUUUAUCAUGUUUACAUCUUAUUUGCUUAGAACGACGGUAGCAUAAAUAAGAUGAUCCCUCACUAAAAUUUCAAGAAAGUGUUCCCCCUAACUGUGCACCGUUGCGAAGGUUCGUUGUUUCGAAGCACCACGUGAUGAUCGGGUGUGAUAGAUUCUAACGUUCGAAUACAACGGGUGUUGACGAGCCUAGCAUGUACAGACAUGGCCUCGGAACACAUGCAAAACACUUAGGUUGACUUGAUGAGCCUAGCAUGUACAGACAUGGCCUCGGAACACAAGAGACCGAAAGGUCGAACAUGAGUCGUAUAGUAGAUACGAUCAACAUGGAGAUGUUCACCGAUGAUGACUAGUCCGUCUCACGUGAUGAUCGGACACGGCCUAGUUUGACUCGGAUCAUGUAUCACUUAGAUGACUAGAGGGAUGUCUAUCUGAGUGGGAGUUCAUAAUCAGAUGAACUUCAUUAUCAUGAACAUAGUCAAAAGAUCUUUGCAAAUUAUGUCAUACGCCUUAGUUCUACUGUUUAAGAUAUGUUCCUAGAGAAAAUUUAGUUGAAAGUUAAUAGUAGCAAUUAUGCGGACUGGGUCCGUAAACUGAGGAUUGUCCUCAUUGCUGCACAGAAGGCUUAUGUCCUUAAUGCACCGCUCGGUGUGAUGAACCUCAGCGUCGUCUGUAGAUGUUGCGAAACAUCUGACAUACACGUUUUGAUGACUACGUGAUAGUUCAGUGCGUAAUGCUAACGGUUUAGAAUUGUGGCACCAAAGACGUUUUUUGAAACGUCGCAGAACAUAUGAGAUGUUCCGAAGACUGAAAUCGGGAUUUCAGACUAGUGCCCACGUCAAGAGGUAUGAGACCUCUGACAAGUUUCUUAAGCCUGCAAACUAAGGGGAAAAAAAGCUCAAUCGUUGAGCAUGUGCUCAGAUUGUCUGAGUACCACAAUCGCUUGAAUCGAGUGGGAGUUAAUCUCCCAGAUGAGAUAGUGAUAGUUCUCCAUAGUCACUGCCACCAAGCUAGUAGAGCUUCGUGAUGAACUAUAACAUAUCAGGGAUAGUUAUGAUGAUCCUUGAGCUAUUCGCGAUGUUUGACACCGCGAGAGUAGAAAUCAAGAAGGAGCAUCAAUUGUUGAUGGUUAGUAAAACCACUAGUUUAAGAAGGGCAAGGGCAAAAGGGAUACUUCAUGAAACAGCAAGUCGUUUGCUGCUCUAGUGAAGAAUCCCAAGGUUGAACCCAAACCCGAGACUAAGUGCUUCUGUAAUGAGGGGAACAGUCACUGAAGCAGGACUACCCUAGAUACUUGGUAGAUGAGAAGGCAGGCAAGAUCGACAGAAGUAUAUUGGAUAUACAUUAUAUGAAUGUGUACUUUACUAGUACUCCUAGCAGCACCAGGUAUUAGAUACCAGUUCGGUUGCUAAGUGUUAGUAACACGAAAUAAAAGCUGCGGAAUAAACGGAGACUAGCUAAAGGUGAGAUGACGAUAUGUGUUGGAAGUGUUUCCAAGGUUGAUGUGAUCAAGCAUCGCAUGCUCCCUCUACCAUCGAGAUUUGAUGUUUGCGUUGAGCAUGAUUGGAUUAUGUUUAUCGCAAUACGGUUAUUCAUUUAAGGAGAAUAAUGGUUACUCUGUUUAUUUGAAUAAUACCUUCAAUGGUCUUGCACCUAAAAUGAAUCUCGAUCGUAGUGAUACACAUGUUCGUGCCAAAAGAUAUAAAAUAGUAAUGAUAGUUCCACAUACUUGUGGCACUGCCAUUUGAGUCAUAUUGGUAUAGAACGCAUGAAGAAGCUCCAUGUAGAUGGAUCUUUGGACUCACUCAGUUUUGAAAAGAUUGAGACAUGCGAACCAUGUCUAUUGGUAUAUAUGCAUGAAGAAACUCCAUGCAGAUGGAUCGUUUGGACUCACUUGAUUUUGAAUCACUUGAGACAUGCAAAUCAUACCACAUGGGCAAGAUGACUGAAAGGCCUCGUUUUCAGUAAGAUGGAACAAGAGAGCAACUUAUUGGAAGUAAUACAUUUUGAUGUAAGCAGUCCAAUGAGUGCUAAGGCAUGCAGUGGAUAUCAUUAUGUUCUUACUUCACAGAUGGUUUGAGUAGAUGCUGAGUGUAUUUGCUUGAUGAAACACAAGUCUGAAUUAUUGAAAGGUUCAAGUAAUUUCAGAGUGAAGUUGAAGAUCGUCGUGACAAGAGGAUAAAAUGUCUGUGAUAUGAUCAUAGAGAUGAGUAUCUGAGUUACGAGUUUGGCACACAGUUAAGACAUUGUGGAAAGUGUUUCACAAUUAAUACCGCCUGGAACACCAUAGUGUGAUGGUGUGUCCGAACAUCAUAACUACACCCUAUUGGAUAUGGUGCAUACCAUGAUGUCUCUUAUCGAAUUACCACUAUCGUUUAUGGGUUAGGCAUUAGAGACAACCGCAUUCACUUUAAAAGGGGCACCACGCAAUUCCGUUGAGACGACACCGUUUAGAGAAACCUAAGUUGUCGUUUCUUAAAAUUUUGGGGCUGCGACGCUUAUGUGAAAAAAAUGUUUCAGGCUGAUAAGCUCGAACCCAAAGAGGAUAAAUGCAUCUUCAUAGAAAACCCAAAACAGUUGGGUAUACCUCCUAUUUCAGAUCUGGAAGCAAAAGUAAUUGCUUCUAGAAACGAGUCCUUUCUCGAGGAAAAGUUUCUCUCGAAAGAAUUGAGUGGGAGGAUGGUGGAGACUUGACAAGGUUAUUGAACCGUCACUUCAACUAGUGUGUAGCAGGGCACAGGAAGUUGUUCCUGUGGCACCUACACCAAUUGAAGUGGAAGCUUAUGAUAGUGAUCAUGAAACUUCGGAUCAAGUCACUACCAAACCUCGUAGGACGACGAGGAUGCGUGCUACUUCAGAGUGGUACAUGAUCCUGUCUGAGAUAUCAUGUUGUUGGACAAUACUGAACCUACGAGCUAUGGAGAAGCGAUGGUGGGCCCAUAUUCCGACAAAUGGUUAGAAGCCAUGAAAUCCUAGAUAAAUGGAUCUUUGAGAAGAAGACGGACGUGGACGGUAAUGUUACCGUCUAUGAAGCUCAACUUGUGGCAAAGAGUAUUUCCACAAGUUCAAGGAGUUGACUACAAUGAGAUUUUCUCAUCCGUAGCGAUGCUUAAGUCCGUCGGAAUCACGUUAGCAUUAGCUGCAUUUAUGAAAUCUGGCAGAUGGAUGUCAAAACAAGUUUCCUUACCAGUUUUCGUAAGGAAAGGUUGUAUGUGAUACAAUCAGAAAGGUUUUGUCGAUCCUAAGGAUGCUAAUAGGUAUGCUAGCUCCAGCGAUCCUUCCAUGGACUAGAGCAAGCAUCUCGGAGUCAGAAUAUACGCUUUGAUGGAGUGAUCAAAGUUUUUGGGUUUAUACAAAGUUUGUUAGAAACUUGUAUUUACAAUAAAGUGAGUGGGAGCGCUACAACAUUUCUGAUAAGUAUAUGUGAAUGACAUAUUGUUGAUCCGAAAUGAUGUAAUAUUUCUGGAAAGCAUAAAGGGUUGUUUGAAAGGAGUUUUUCAAAGGAAGACCUGGAUAAAGCUGCUUACAUAUUGGGCAUCAAGAUCUAUAGAGAUAGAUCAAGACGCCUGAUGAUACUUUCAAAGAACGCACACCUUGACAUGAUUUUGAAAGAGUUCAAAAUAGAUCAGCAAAGAAGGAGUUCUUGGCUGUGUUACAAGGUGUGAGUAUUGAGUAAGACUCAAGACCUGACCACAGCAGAAGAGAGAGAAAGGACGAAGGUCGUCCCCUAUGCUUUAGACAUAGGCUCUACAGUAUGCUAUGCUGUGUACCGCACAUAAAGUGUGCCUUGCCAUGAGUCGGUCAAGGGGUACAAUAGUGAUCCGGGAAUGGAUCACAUGACAGCGGUCGAACUUAUCCUUAGUAUCUAGUGGACUAAGGAUUUUCUCGAUUAUGGAGGUGAAAAGGAGUUCGUCGUAAAGGGUUACGUCGAUGCGAACUUUGACACUAAUCCGGAUGACUCUGAGUAGUAAACCGGAUUCGUAUAGUAGAGCAGAUACUUGAAAUGGCUCCAAGUAGCACGUGGUAGCAUCCACAAGAUGACAUAGAUAUUCGUAAAGCACAAACGGAUCUGAAAGGUUCAGACCCGUUGACUAAUAACCUCUCUCACAAGCAUAGCAUGAUCAAACCAGAACUCAUUGAGUGUUAAUCACAUAGUGAUGUGAACUAGAUUGUUGACUCUAGUAAACUCUUUGGAUGUUGGUCACAUGGUGAUGUGACCUAUGAGUGCUAAUCACAUGGUGAUGUGGACUAGAUUAUUGACUCUAGUGCAAGUGGGAGACUAUUGGAAAUAUGCCCUAGAGGCAAUAAUAAAUAGGUUAUUAUUAUAUUUCCUUGUUCAUGAUAAUCGUUUAUUAUCCAUGCUAGAAUUGUAUUGAUAGGAAACUCAGAUACAUGUGUGGAUACAUAGACAACACCAUGUCCCUAGUAAGCCUCUAGUUGACUAGCUCGUUGAUCAAUAGAUGGUUACGGUUUCCUGACCAUGGACAUUGGAUGUCGUUGAUAACGGGAUCACAUCAUUAGGAGAAUGAUGUGAUGGACGAGACCCAAUCCUAAGCCUAGCACAAGAUCGUGUAGUUCGUUUGCUCAGAGCUUUUCUAAUGUCAAGUAUCAGUUCCUUAGACCAUGAGAUUGUGCAACUCCCGGAUACCGUAGGAAUGCUUUGGGUGUACCAAACGUCACAACGUAACUGGGUGGCUAUAAAGGUGCACUACAGGUAUUUCCGAAAGUGUCUGUUGGGUUGGCACGAAUCGAGACUGGGAUUUGUCACUCCGUGUAAACGGAGAGGUAUCUCUGGGCCCACUCGGUAGUACAUCAUCAUAAUGUGCACAAUGUGACCAAGGAGUUGAUCACGGGAUGAUGUGAGUUACGGAACGAGUAAAGAGACUUGCCGGUAACGAGAUUGAACAAGGUAUAGGGAUACCGACGAUCGAAUCUCGGGCAAGUAACAUACCGAUAGACAAAGGGAAUUGUAUACGGGAUUGAUUGAAUCCCCGACAUCGUGGUUCAUCCGAUGAGAUCAUCGUGGAACAUGUGGGAGCCAACAUGGGUAUCCAGAUCCCGCUGUUGGUUAUUGACCGGAGAACGUCUCGGUCAUGUCUGCAUGGUUCCCGAACCCGUAGGGUCUACACACUUAAGGUUCGAUGACGCUAGGGUUAUAGGGAAAGUUUGUACGUGGUUACCGAAUGUUGUUCGGAGUCCCGGAUGAGAUCCCGGACGUCACGAGGAGUUCCGGAAUGGUCCGGAGGUAAAGAUUUAUAUAUGGGAAGUCCUGUUUUGGUCACCGGAAAAGUUUCGGGUGAUAUCGGUAAUGUACCGGGACCACCGGGAGGGUCCCGGGGGUCCACCAAGUGGGGCCACCGGCCCCAGAGGGCUGCAUGGGCCAAGUGUGGGAGGGGACCAGCCCCAGGUGGGCUGGUGCGCCCCCCACAAGAGGCCCAGGGCGCAGGAAAGGGGGGAAGGGGGAAACCCUAGGCUCAGAUGGGCCUAAGGCCCAUCUAGUGGGGCGCCCCCUCUCUCUCCCCCUUUGGCCGCCCCCCAAGCCCCAUCUAGGGCUGGCCGCACCCCUUGGGGGGGGGGAACCCUAGAUGGGGGCGCAGCCCUCCCCCUCCCCUAUAUAUAUUGGGGUUUUGGGGCUGCCCAAGACACGAGAACGUCUCUCUUUCGGUGCAACCCUACCCCUCUCCCUCCUCCUCCUUUCCCGCGGUGCUUGGCGAAGCCCUGCGGGAUUGCCACGCUCCUCCACCACCACCACGCCGUCGUGCUGCUGCUGGAUGGAGUCUUCCCCAACCUCUCCCUCUCUCCUUACUGGAUCAAGGCGUGGGAGACGUCACCGGGCUGCACGUGUGUUGAACGCGGAGGCACCGUUCUUCGGUGCUUAGAUCGGAAUCAACCGCGAUCUGAAUCGCUACGAGUACGACUCCCGCAUCCGCGUUCUUGCAACGCUUCCGCAUCGCGAUCUACAAGGGUAUGUAGAUCCACUCCCCUUCCCCUCGUUGCUAGAGUACUCCAUAGAUUGAUGCGUAGAAAAUUUUGAAUUUCUGCUACGUUCCCCAACAACAACUUGCUAUUGCUGCCACGAAAUGCUAUAUUAUGUUCUGCAAGAAAUUUUACAAUCAACAAAAUCCUGAGCAAAACUUUUCUCCAAUGCUCCUUUUCCUUUUCAAGUUCUCGCUGAGCAACUUUAUCAAUUGUUUCAUUCUUCUGCAUCCUGAGACGGAAGUCAUACCAUGCAGUCAUAUUUGUGAUAUGCUCUCUACUUGAUUCAUGCUCUUUUAUUCUAGCCCCAUGAUGAAUCCAGUCACUUAAACCCUCAUUUGCUAGCUGUCCUAUCACAUGCCCCCUUUUUAAUAAUUUGCAACAAAAACAAAAUGCUUUGUCGAGACCGUUGUUGUACACAAGCCACUCUCUGUCAAACUUUUCUUCAUUUGAGAGAAUUCUACUAAGUGAUAAUGCAGAAAACCUUCUAGAGAACUUGUCGUAAGGACCAUACUCAAUAUCUUCUCUUUUAGGACCCUUUUGCAGCAAGAUAUCAAUCUUUUUAGGAUCAAGUCCAUCCCAAUUUCUAGGAUCAAAUAUAUCAGGCUGAACGGAAUUAUUCAUGUCAUCCAAAAUAUUAGGAUCAUGAUCUUCGUCUAAAAUAUUGACAUCAUUACCUUCAUCAAUUUCUGUAGCGGCAACCUCAUCCUCUUGUGCAUUAUCACCAUGACCAUGAUCAACUUCAUGAAUUUCUGCAGUGACAACCUCAACCUCUACUGCAUUAUCAUCAUGACCAUCAUCAAUAUUACCAUCUGAAGUAUGAUUUCCAGAAUUAGUUUGGGGUACUAUCACAACAUAUUUAUCAAGAGCACCCCUUUGAAUUUGAGCAUCUUCUUCUAAUUUCGGUUUCUUCUUACACUUGAAGGCACCAGAAUCAUACUUUCUUCCAGAACUAGAAUGCAUGAUUGUUUCUGUUUCAAUGAAAUAUAUACUCUUUAAAUUUAUUUGAACUGACGAGCUCACAUGAAACAUAAGCUUGUGACAUGUAUAGGUACUAGUAGUUCGAAAAACUUACAAUCAGAUAGAACCUUGAUUUUGGACUUGGACGAUAGUACGAGCAACUACUGAAAUUCUUGAAUCUGUGACUACUUCUGAACUUGAAUGACUACACAAAAAAUCGUCCCCAAACAUAUUAACACAACUUUAUAUUUUUGUAUCAAAAUUAGAGAAAAGGGGAGAGCGUAGGGAGCAGGGAGGGCAGGGCACCACACCGGUUGGUCUUUCCUGUUGGGCGGCACCGCGGCAGUGUCGGCCGGCCGUCGGCGGCGCGGCGUCCAGCGCUCGAAAGUCGCGUGCAGUUCUGCUUCUUGCCCGUCGCCUCGUUGAACCUGCAAGGCUGAAAUGCGAUCGCCGCUGACGAGCCGCCGAUUCAGUCGGAAAGCAAUUGUGAGAUGGAAGCCAAGCGAUCAGGGAAGGAAUAGGAAGCGGAAGUUAGGGAACAUACUGCGCUGGGGCUGUCGUUUCGUCUACGAUCGAUCAAUCUACCUCAUCCACGCGACGGGAAAGAGGAUCGCUCCGGACCAGGCCCAAGAAGGCCUAAAACUGAAAUAUUUUCAGACUAUACAUAUAUGUAUAUGGACCCUAGUUGGGGGCAGCGCACAGCUCGCACAGGCCCUUGGACGGCCCUGCCUGUGGUACUCGCCGUUGUUCUGAAUUGUUUGUCAGGGCCUAAAGGUACUAUGUACACCGUCGUGGGUGAUUCCAAGAUGAUGACUUUCUUAGGGCCGUUCGCGUCUUGCCACCCACCUGCCAACUCUUUUAGGCAAUCAAGAAUGGUUAAUGCCACACACUGGUUGAAGUUGUUGCUCAUUAGAGGUGACCAACGUUGGUCGAGACGCGGCUCUUGUUGGUCAAUUUAGAACAGAUACUUUUGUGUUGGAGUUCUUUGUGUGCGUGUAAGUUGGAGUGGUGUUUGCCUCUCAUCGGCAUGUGGUGGGAGUUUGUCAGAAUUGAAUUCUUGUAUUUUAUCAUGUGCCUUCUAUAGAACUAAAACUACGGCACAUAAUUUAAUCGUGCUUUCGAGAAAAAGGAAUACUUCCUCGUUCGAAAUUUAGCAAGCCAAGCCAACCCAAAUGAUUUGGCGACUUGAGGUCUAAAAUAAUAAACGACCACCCAUCUUCCCACGAGUAGGCUUACUAUUCAUAACCACGCCAGCACGCGCGAAGAGCCCAACGUCCCAACUAGAGCUCUCUUCCACGCCUCUUUCUCCAAUCUCCACCUCCCCACUCCCCCUCUUCCUCCGCCGAACUCCAACUCGCCAAGGCAACCAGCGGCCAUGCCGGCGGCGGUCGCUUGCUCCGUCAAGUGCCGGCCCCACCACCGCCUCUCGGCGCCGCAGCCCCACGCCGCGCUGGAGCUCCUCCCCCGCGCCCCGGCCUCCGCCGCCGGCGAGCUGCGGGCGACCCGGUGCCGGACCCCGCCUUCCCUCUCCUUCGCGCGCGCCUCCGACCAAGGGGAGGCUCCCUAUGCCCGCCCGCCGUCCGCAAGGCGGGCCCGCGCUGCCGUGGCGGGGUGCGAGGAAGUCGGCCCCGCUUCUUCCGCGGCCGCGGCCGCCCUGCUCGCCGGCGCGCAGUCGCGGCACGCUAUCUUCCGCGAGGAGCUCGUGAGGAGGGCCUACUACGCGGCGGAGGCGGCCCACCGCGGCCAGGUGCUCGACCGUGCCCCUCUCGCUCUCUGUCUGCUCAUCGUUUCAGCGUGGCUUGUCGAACGUCUGAAAUUUGAAGUGACCGGGCCGCGUUUCUCGGCUGGGCGUUUUGGUGGUUUCUGCAGAUGCGCGCGAGCGGCGACCCUUACCUGCAGCACUGCGUGGAGACGGCGGCGCUGCUCGCGGAGCUCGGCGCAGGCCCUCCGGUUAUCGCGGCGGGGCUGUUGCACGACACGGUGGACGACGCAGGCCUGGAUUACGGCUCCAUCUCCGAGCAAUUCGGUGCUGGCGUUGCGGACCUCGUGAAGGGGGUAAGAAUUCGGAUCUAUCUAGUUACUGUACUGGAUAUAACUGACAUUAGGAUGUGACGAGCAGGCUCGCUGAUACAGUAUGUAACUAUUCAGUAGAACUGUUUUUCUCUGUUAAAACUCGCUUAGUGUGGUAGUAUUAUUUUCUGAAACGAACCAAAGUAAGGUGCCAUUGCUGCUACACCGUUUCCACCGUACUGAUAAAGUGAUAAUGUAGCAAUUCAGAGCUUCUUCACUGGUAGAUUAUUCGUACCGGCAUAUACAGAUGAUUUUCUGAGCAUGACUUAGUCUGUGCCAGUGUCCAGGAUCAGGCCGUAGUUUUUUAGGCGAAGGAUCAGGUCAUAGUCACAAUUGAUUAGUUAUAUGGUUAUGUUUCCGCGUGGGUCCCUCUUCUUUUAUUUUCAUCUUUCUCGGUGUUGUCUUUUUCGUCAUUUGGAGAAGUGGAUGUUGCUAGUUUGGCUACCUUGCUAAAAUAAUUUUUUGCGAUUAUGACUGACAGACCAUAAUUGAUUGUUACGUUAUUGAUAGGGCUUCUAGAACAAAUACAAAUCUUAUGUUUAUCUAAGUUAGGUAUUAAGUUAACAUCACCUCUAUUAAAGUAGGCUGUAGGCAUCUCCUAGGAUUGACUUGUGCUUUGGUAUAUUUUAGAAUUUCUUCCUCGCUGUUUACCAGAUCAAAGCAGACACACGUUUUGGUGAUUUUAUGCGUCUUCUUUCAUGAUAUCACAUUUAUUAUCUGGAACUUGGGAAAGGCUGUUGUUUGUUCUGCUACAUGUUGUCGCCUUGUCGGUCAUCUUUAUCAAUAUUACACCUGCAAUAUGUUAGGGCGCUUCACCAUUUUUUGGCAACAAGGGUGCUCUGGCCGUUUGAGGACAUUGUGGAAUGACUUGACUUAGUUGUGUCGAAUAUUUGACAGGUUUCUAAUCUAAGUCAUUUGAGCAAACUGGCUCGUAGAAACGAUACGGCGAGCAGAACUGAUGAAGCUGACAGAUUGCGUACAGUCUUCCUUGCAAUGGAGGAUGCGAGAGCAGUGCUUAUCAAACUUGCUGAUAGGCUACACAAUAUGAGGACGUUGGAUUCAUUGCCCAAGAUCAAACAGCAGUGCUUUGCAAAGGAAACACUGGAGAUAUUUGCUCCAUUGGCGAAUCAAUUGGGCAUCUUGAACUGGAAGGAGCAGCUUGAAAAUCUGUGUUUCAAGCAUCUUUACCCAGAGCAAUAUGAGGAACUGUCAUCCAACCUUCAUGAGUUUUACAACAGAGAUAUGAUUGCAGCUGCAAUAAGGCGAUUGGAACAGGCCCUUCAGGUGAGAGGUCUAUCCUAUCGUUCCAUAUCAGGGAGACACAAGAGCAUAUACAGCAUCUACAGCAAGAUGACAAGGUAAACUCGUGCGUCCUGUUUUCAUUAUGGUGUCUUUACUAGAUUUUUUUUUUCAAAUGAUUUGCCUUUCAUUUUAGUUGUGUUGUUAAUGAAGUCAAAUGAAUCAUUAUCUAAAAUAGAUAAGUCCUGCACUGACUUCAUCAUGACCUUUGAAGUAACCUUGCUAGCCGGAGAGACAUAUGCCACUAAACAUGCUAAUGUGAUUGCUUUUUUAUUACACAAAAAAACUGGACAUGGAUGAAAUCUAUGAUGUACAUGGAGUGCGUGUGAUACUCGAGAAUAAAGCUGAUUGCUUCACCACAUUAGAAGUUGUCCAUCACUUGUGGCCUAGAAUUCCUGGGAAGUUUAAAGACUAUGUCAGCAGCCCCAAAUCUAAUGGGUACGACCAUGCAAAAUAUUGCUAUGCUAUGCAGAAAAAAAAUGUAUGUCACGGUGCUAACUUGAUGCUUCUUAACUUGUAGGUACCAAUCGCUGCACACGGUUGUUCUCAGUGAAGAAACACUCCCAUUAGAGAUCCAAAUUCGUACUGCGGACAUGCACUUGCAGGCAGAGUUUGGAAUCGCUGCACAUUGGAGAUACAAGGAAGGCGUACGUAACUGCUCUUCAUCUCUGCCUGAAAUGGUUGAAUGGGUUAGAUGUGUCGUUACAUGGCAGUGUGAAACUUUGCACAUAGACCACCCUUCGCCUCCUGGACUUGGUUCUUCCCCAAGGGCAACAUGCACCUUCCCUUCUGACUCUGAUGGCUGUCCUUUCUCCUAUUCAAAACAAUGUGACCACACUGGACCAAUCCUAGUGAUACUUCUGGAGAAUGAAAAGGUUGAGAACCGUCAUAAUAUUUCAAGUGCUUUCUGAUUAACUAAAGUUGCAAUGUGUUAAUUUAGAAGAGCAGCAGAACUGAAUUUGCUAUGUUUGUUUUCUUCAGAUGUCGGUGCAAGAGCUCCCACAAAAUUCGAAAAUACUGGACCUGUUGAAGAGGGCUUCAAGCUACGACAUGCAGUUGAGCCUAAGGCUGAACAGCCAUGCUGUGCACAACCUGAACCAGGAGCUGAAGAUGGGCGACGUGCUGGAGCUGAUCCCUUCAACUCCAUGCAAAUCUGGAGGCUACAUGAGGGAGCUCAACCAAAUGUCUGAUCACCGUCUCGCCGUUUCGCAGUCUUGACAGCCGUAGACCAGCAGAUCUUGUGAAUACAUAUAUGACAGCGCAGCUAAAUCGUCUGAAGUUUAGGUGACCGCACUGAUAGAAUCAUAACAGAUAGUGUAGCAUUUGGUGUAUAUUUUUGUUGAUACAUUUGUUCAAGUAGAGCAAAAAAAGUUAACUUGUAAAUAGUACGUGAUACAGCUCGGGAAUUGUUCUUAGUUUUAAAACACCUAUUGAGAAAAUAGAACAUGGUUAGGCUAAGUGAUUUCAGUUUUCUACUUGUUCAGAUAUUGGCUAUGAAUUUGCAAUUACAUGUGAAUAUUUUUUUGCUCGGUGAGCUUGACUGCUUAAGAUGCAAAAUGAGAAGUGAAAAAGAAAAAGAACAGAAAGGCUGUGAUAAGUGAUUUGAGUUCUCUUCUAAUUCAGACAUUGGCUAUGGAGUGCGAAUUUGUGAAAAUAUUUUGUUCAGCGAGCUAGACAACGAAAAGACUGGGUGCUUUACUGCUGAUGGUGCAAAAUCAUAAGUGAAAGGGAAAAAAUAUAUACAAAAAUGCUAUAAUAAGUGUUUCAGUUAUAUACUUCAGACAUUGGCUAUGGCUUUUGCAUUUCUGAAAAAUAUGCUGCUCAACGGAAAUGUGUGCGUGUGGGGCUUGGCUGUUUCAAAAAAUUAAAAAAUAAUCGACACCUGAGAGAUUCGAACUCUCGCGGGGAAACCCCAUGUACUUAGCAGGCACACGCCUUAACCACUCGGCCAAAGUGUCGUCGUUGUGCAGAGUAGUGAAAUGAUUUUAUUUGGUAGGAUAUAAGCCAUAUUUCACUCAAACCCAAACUGUUCGUUGCCUCCACCAAUAAGAGUCGCCUAUGUCGCACAAAUCAGUGCCAUAUUGUUCUCACAAAGGAGAGAUAUACGUUCAUAUGUUGACUGUUUCUUGGCUUUUGAUGUUUGGUGGAAAGAGGCAGAGAACAAGGUCAACUCAAGUCAUGCUAACAGAGAGGUGGAAGCAACUAUUCUGGCUUUGUUCAUGAAUUGGCCUCCAUGUAGUACAAAAUGGUAGUGCUAUAGUUGAAAUAUUGGCAUUACCCUGACUCCCCGAGCAAAAGACGAGUCUAAACAAAUGUAAAACGUGUGGGAGAAACAUGACAUGGAUGAGAUAUGGUCAGUUCAGUUCCACUUGAGCUAUUACGCGGUGGCAUGGCGUGGUGCAGUCCUGUCAAAGGCGGAUCUGUGCCGGCGAUCUGGUGGUUUUUUCUACGGAUUGGUUCGGAUCAGAGACGGUGACGAGCGCGCGGGAUCCAUCUCGGCGGCUCUCACGGUUUGGCGAGGUGGGGUGGGAGCCCUCCUCCCAGGCUCCAGUGGUGGCACACUUAGGCAGUGGCCGGUGCGUCAGGGCUCCUACGGUGGCACUGCUGUUGCGGUUGGUCGCCGGAUCUAGGCGUCUAGAUCUGGGGCUUUGAAGGCGGUCGAGACGUUGCACAUUUUGUCGGUUGGAUUUCUUGGGACGGAUCCGGGUGAAAACCUGGUCUUCGGUUGGUGGUCGGAGCCGGUGAUGAUGACACCCUUAUCAUCGUUUCCUUGAUGAAGGCAUCAUCGAGAUGAAGCUCCCAACCCCACCGAAUACCUCCGGGGGAAACCCUAGAUCAGCUGAUCGGAUGACGGCGACAAUCUUGUGUCGUUUCCCCCUUGGGGGCGGCAUUCUUGGAGGUGCACUCGGGCUAGAGGGACCAGUGGACGGCAUCUUCGGUGGAGCGGUGUUUCAUUCUACAUAUUCAUGGCGGCGGAUCUCGACAGCAUGGAGCAGUGGAGGCUCGGCAUCCGAUGUGUGGCGACGGACUCGCGCAGGUGGACGACGUUGUCUGGUGUCGUGGUGGCAUCGAUGGCAGAGAGGCCUGACAAAGUCGAUGCGUCAGUAUCUGCUUUGAGGAUGGAUCGAUGGAAGACGGAGGUGAGCGUGCGCAUGUGGUGCUCACUAAGAGUGCGUUGAACCGGUGUGUCAUCCAGUCCCGGCUUUGUGGCUUGGAUGGGGCAUCCGGUUUUAGAUGUUAGUCUUUGGUGCGAUGUCUGUUUGGUAUUUGGUUCAGACAUUCGCCACUCCUUUAUAAAGGGAUAGAAGUAGCGACAGGUGUUGUCAAGAUGAUGGCUUUGGACUUACGAAUGUAUUAAUUUGUAAGGUCUUUAUGAAUAAUUAAUAAAAUAAUCGUAUGAAUCACCCAGAUACAGAGGCGGGGGUGCAUCCUCCUUUUAAAAGGGAAGUAAGUCGAUGUUCUCUUAGUUGAUGAGGUCCCUAGCCGUGAUGGUUGAUAACGACUCUGUAAAGGACAAGUUUCCAACUCUAUUCUUAAUGCAAAGCAUGCACCUACUCCCUUUGCUAAGUUUUUUUUAGAGAUUUCAAUAUGAAUUACACACAAAUGUAUAUAGACAUAUUUUAGGAUGUUGAUUCACUUAUUUUAUAUUUCGCAAAAAAAAGAUUCACUCAUUUUAUUUUAUAUGUAGUCUAUAUUAAAAUAUUUAAAAAGACUUAUAUUUAGAAACGGAUGAAAUAGUUCGUUAAAAUACACUGGCAUUUUUUUUUUUUUUGCGAUUGCCACAACUCAAGCACGCAGUUCACGCUUCUCCCACACGUUUUCUAUUUGUUUAGACUGGUCAGGCAGUUAAACUAUUUUUGUGUUUGUGUAAAAGAAGCUAAAAACAUAAAUACGAAAUGCGAGUCCUUUGAAAGGCCCAAGGUUCAUGUUUGUCCCGCACAAUUUACAUUUAUUUGUGUCGUUUUUGUUUUUUACUGUUUGAAUUUUCGAGUAAAGCAGAAAAAAGAAAGCUACUCGUAGGUACAAAUACUCAAAACACUUGCUUAAGACAUGGAAAUGCCAAUAUGUUUUCUACACAUGAAAUCGACAAAUAUAUGAAUAUGUUGCGUUUUAAAACCGGGUGAGCUUUAGUGUCUGACAAUAUCUGAUUGUUCAAAGUGCUCACUCCUUGAGAUAAGCAAAUGUUGUGGAGCUUGAUUGCCUACGCAGCAAAAGGAAAUGUUGUGCAGGCCUAAGCAGCAAAAAAGAAAAAAGAAAUCGACGCCUGAGAGAUUCGAACUCUCGCGGGGAAACCCCAUGUACUUAGCAGGCACACGCCUUAACCACUCGGCCAAAGCGUCGUUGUUGUAUAGAUGGCUGAAAUGACUCUAUAUCUAACGUGCAGAUACAUCCUUUUACUUAAACCCAAAUUCUAUUUUGCCUCUCCCGCGAAGAGUUGCCCGACACACCGCAAAUCUGCGCCCUACCCUAAUGGACACCGGGGUCGGACGGACCCCUCCUCCUGCGGCGGCGGCGGACGCCGGCGAUGAGCCACGGGACGCGCGUGUCGUGAAGGAGAUCUUGCGUUCGGUGGGGCUUAAUGAAGGGGAUUACGAGCCGGCGGUGGUCCACCAGUUCCUGAGGCUCGCCCACCGGUACACCGGCGACGUGCUCGGCGACGCGCUGGCCUACGCGGAUCACGCUGGCAGGGCGUCGCUCCAAGCAGACGACGUCCACCUCGCCAUCCGCUCCAACGCAACGUUCGGCCACGAGCCGCCGGGCCGCGAGGUACGUGCUUAGCCCUAAACCUCUCCGUUCCUCAUGAGGAUUUCGCUGCUGUUGGCUGCGUCAAUCGCGUUCGCGGCUGUCGGGGAUGGGGUUGUUUGGAUCCUGCGCUUUCGUGUCCUGAUCGAUCGGAACUUUACUCGCGGAUCACGGGAUCGGUGGUUAGACUGGUGUUCAAGAAGCAGCAUGAGUUUGCAGUUUCCACGCACUCUCCGUUCCUUUCAGAUCGUGCGCGUUGGAAGUUCUGAGUUUUUAUUCACCCGGAUUUCCUCGUAGAUACGAAACAAUUGAAUAUUUUAUUAUCAGAUAAUGGAAGUAUAAUUCCCCUGCCUUUGCAUAGAAAAACUAAUUAAAUCUGUAAAAUGAAAUUUGAACCAUGACGUUCUGCGAAAACUUGCAAUCAAGAUGGAGAGACACAAACUCGGAGAUCCGUUAGGAGUAUCAUAAGAACUGACUCGAUGUCAUCAUGUUAAAACGGGUGUUAACGGCAUCUACAAAGGUGGAGUCACUCCUUGACUCUCUGGUUCCUCGUCAUCAGGAGUUGAUAGUAAAACAUUUUAUAUGAAGGGCAUGUCUUUAGAUUGACUCUACAGAAAAGUUAUAACUAAAUAUGACGAAGGGGGUGUUUGGUUCCAGGGACUUUUUUGUGUUGGGACUAGAAAAAACCCUAGCAAACCAAAUAGGGUGGAACUUUUUUGGGACUUUUUGUUAAAAGUCCUUAGAAGCACCUCCUUGAGAGUCUUUUUCAAAAAGUCCUAGGGACUAGAAAAAGUCUUAGGACUAGAGAACCAAACACCACCGAAGUACAUGGCUUGACUCUUAUUAGCACAUGUGCAAUAGUGCUAUCUUAACAAAAUCAGUAUCAGAUAGGUUGAUUUCUAAGUUGGGAAGAGAGAGCGAGACUAAAAAAAGAGGUUUGCAUUCUCUUAGCUAAGGGACGAUCUCUUAGUAAGGAGGAUAAGACAAUUCUCUCCCUUCUACCAAAAGUCAUCACUUAGUUAAAUAUUGUCUAGUUUAGUCCAUAAUUUUAGGAGCAUGCAACAAUCAAGUGUCAGAGAUAUCUAUAGCACGAUAUGUUUUUCUUGCCUUCUCUAGAAGGCAUGCAUUGCAUAUGAAAAAGUUGUCUUAUCAUUCAAGAACAAGUUUGACUCUAAGAAACCAAAUUUGUUUUUCUCUCCUUAUUAUCUCCCUCCCAUAUCAACAACUAAUCAAUUAAGUGACAACAUUAAGAGUCAACAUGUAUAGAUCCCUUAUAAAGUAACCUAGCCCCUCUUUUGUUGCUUUAACACAUGGACUAGGGCAUUCCUGCCCAAUAUGUUAUUGUAUGAAUGCAAAUAAUGUACAAAAAGGCACAUAUGAGGCCCAUCAUCCCAUAUAAGGAUCAACUCCAUCCUUUUGUAUGAACAUAAUUCAUAGUGGCAGGUGGCUUACCACUACCAAUCAUAUGUAACUUUGGUGCUUUAACUAGAUUUUUGUUUAUGCUCUCUUUUAGAUUUCUGGCCAAUCCAUCUACACUGUCAGUAGGCAAAUAAGACAAUAUGAUCCUCACAUGUAAGACUUGGAGAAAAGAAAUAAAACAUUUUCUUAUGAUUCACUUUAACACCCAAAAUAACAAAAUAUUUUUUUGGAAAUAAAGGAAUUCUUAUUGUCCAGUAUGCCAUUUGGAUAAAUUUUCACUUAUUAUCUAGUCAAGUAUAGAAUACACACGAUGAUUGAAUUAUCAAACUAUACUCCAUAAGUUAUCUAGCUACAUAUUAGCGAGGGGAUUUAACUAAACUUUCUCUUGGCUUGGAUCCCUCAAUGGUGCCAAGUUCACAAUAUUAACAUUUAAUUAUGAUGAUUAGUUGUGUUUUUUAUGUAUAUAUGUAUGUCAUUUUCAAGGAGCCAUGAAGUUUGAACGGGCUACUGACCUAAUACCUAAUGCAUCACAUACAUUUCAUGCGGGCAUUAUAUUGUUAUCAUAACAUUCAAAUUCUUCACUUUGGGUAGGUUUUUCUUGAAAUGGCUCAUAGCUUGAACAAAAACCCUCUACCCAAGCCCCCUCCCGGAUCAACCUGUCUGCCACAUGAUCAAGACAUGAUGAUGGGACAAAAAUACUUAUGCAUUCCACAAAUGAAGCCACCGACUGAUAAUGUUAAGGGAACCAAGAGCGACAACACCUGCGAAACCUCCAAUCCUAAAGUUGCUUCUCCCAGUUGCAACAAUGAAGAUCAAACUAGUAGUAGUAAUCAACAAUGUUCUAAGAGGAUUUCCUCCCACCUCAAUGCUAUGGCCGCUAGGGCAGCAAGGCGAUGUAUAAUGAAGAACAGAAGAUCCAAAAUGUCCCAGCCUUGAAUAUAUGAUUAAUUUCUGUUCAACUCAUUAUGUGUUUUUUGUUUAAUUAGUUUCUUGUUGGUGGAAAAAUCUAGCAUGAUGAUGUAAAAGGGUGGUUGGUACACCAACAAGUGCAUCUCAACUUGGCACAUCUAAACUUUAUGCAAAUCCCUUGCUAGUGGUCAUGAUUGUUUCCAUAAAUUGUUGUGUACAUGGUUAUUGGAUUGUGUCACGCCAAAAAAUUAUUGUAUACAUGGUUAUUGGAUUGUGACGUGCCAAAAAUAGCAUGGAGGCUAAAACCCCACAUGGCAAGAUUGACAUAUGGAAGGAGUUUGUGUGUGGUGUGAGGAGGUGAACCAUAUGAAUCAAAACAAAGGUUCAAGAUUAGACUUCAGUCAGCUCAAUCCAGACACAAAAGUUACUAUGAUCAUAAACAUCUCGAGGUUAACUUUGAACCCGGAGAAUAUGCUUACCUCUGAGUGAUACACACUACAGAGGUUUCAAGCAAAACAAAAACUUGUCCAGGAUUUAUUGGACCUUUCCAAGUCUCGUCAAGAAAAGGAAAUGUGGCAUAUCUGCUAGGUCUACUAGAAGACCUAGCAGAGGUCCAUGAUGUGCUUCACAUAUCACAACAUGGAUGCCAACAUCGUGUCCCACAACAAGGAUGCCGUGAGGCCAGAGAAUGAGCCGAUGCUCGUGAAGGCGAAGGCCGAGGAGCAAACAUAAGGUAACUGUUCUGAUGAACCCUUACUCUUUUGUCCUUUCUGUAGGUUUGAUGACAUAUGUUCUGAAGAUGUUGAGGAGGAGAUCCAUCGUAUUCGUGUAACGCCCCGGGAGCGACACUAUAUAACUCUAGCACCUCCACUAGCAUUCACAUAGUAUCGACCCCAAGAGGCCCACCAAACAAACGUGAACACGACAACAUGCUCCGUAUGUGGGCGGUCAGUAUCACAACACAAUUCCUCAACAUGUCUGCAAUAAUAUAUAUACAAUGACUCCAAGGAGUCAAAUUUAACGAAUGAAUACAUAUAAGGGUUUGACAACCAAGACACAUAUCUCAUAACUCAAGCGAAAUAUACCUUAGACAUGUCACAAAUGCCUUAGAAAAGGCUAAAGAAAAGCAAGUGGCGUCCAUAUCCCUGCCCAGACCAUUUCUGGGGGAUAACCAUAGCUCAUGUCGUCCUUCACCAAGAGAUUAUCCGCUCCAAAUGCUACUAUUUGAUAUGGAGCAUCCAGGUCAAAAGAAUAAAUAAAGCAUGGUGAGUACCCAACUAUACCCGCAAGACUUACAUCAGAUCUAUACUAAGUACUAGAUCAUCCAUGGCGCGCGUUGCUGCACUCGUCUUUUUGUAAUAUUGAAUGUUAGUUCUUGAAGCAAAUAUUGAAUGAUUGUUGCAACACAACAAUUGGCGUAAUCGACAUCUCUAACACAACUAAGAGAAACCACAUUUCCAGUGAUGAAUCCCAUGGCACAAACACAUUUAAAACUGAAAAACAAUGUUGAAAACUGGAAUAGGAGAUUAAAAGAAAAAUUAAAUCAGCAACAAAGUUCUUUAUUCAUGAUGUCCACCUACGCAGAAAUGUUAGUAGCCUUUAUUGAAACACUUAGCAUAUUGUAAACUGGCCUUCCUCACGCUUUUCACCCAUCUCGAUAUUCUGGUAGGUUACACUGAUUUUUCAUCACAAAACACAAACCUAAGCAAACAAUGUACUAUUAUGGCAAACCAUAUGGAUUAACUUGUUCCCAGGUGAGUGUACAAAAUUUUCUCUACUCACCACUCCUUUCAGCACAAAGUGUAGUGGAGAUCUCCAUUUUACACCCAACCAUAAAAAUAUGAGAUUAUAUUUACACAGAAAUAGCAAAGAAACAUCUAAUGAGGGAACAAAUGCGCUGCUAAUCAAGUAUGCAGUUAACAUGGCGUUGUUAAUCAAGCCACGUCAGGCUUUCAUAUUUUCCCUUGCUGGCCAUGUUACCUACACCACUACCACCAAGAGGAAUAAGGGCUUCGACAACCAACGAUGUAGCAGCUGUUGAAGGAACGACGCAUAAGCCGAGCAAUAUAUAUGGAUACUAAAACAUGAAAAGACGAGGUAUGGCAGUCGUGGUGAAGUAAUCUAGUCAGGAGCAAUUGGAGACAGGGAGGUGAGAAGUGAAGAAUUCAUCAAAUCAAAAUUUGAGAACUUGUCUAAAAUUUUUCCCCAAUGGAUCGACCAUCAACACCACCCGCAAAAAAAGUUUGGAAAGAUAUUAUUAGAAUGUAACCUACGGUGGGAAUGGGGAUCACAGAAUGACAAAAUAAUGUCGAGUCCAUUUUUAGUAGAACAAUAGAAGUUCAUGUAAAUAUGUAGCGGAAUAUCAUGGAAACUCACUACAAAAAUUUGGAAGUUGCAGUAGAUAAUUGCAUAGUUAUAUUACCAGGCAGAUAACUUGCACCUUCAUAGACACAUUCUUUACUAAAUACAUACAUGCCCUUGUAAGUUUAGAUUUUAUGUGCAUAAAUGUACAACAGGAAAUGGAAAGGGACAAAAAAAUGGAGUAGACUUUACGUAAAUACAUGCCAAGGAGAAAGACAGGAAGUUCUACCAUUAUGAUUUGAUAAACUAAGAAGGAAAGGUGAACCAACUUACCUCAAAAGAAAUGACAAUAAGACCUGACUCAAUGCCGCAACAAAUCAUGAAUUACCUAAAUCAACCACUCUGAUAUAUCAUAGAAUCGACAAUGAUUGAUACUUAAUUCUCAGUCCGCACACAAUUUCUCAGAGUCUAAAAUCUGAUAACAACGGUACGGUGCACCCAUUGCUACAUCUAGAGAGGAUUCUACCUAUAAUAUAGAGAAAAUAGAUGCCAAAUAGAAUCCAUGGAAUAACAUAUAUAUCUUCUGGCAUCAACAAACUAUUAUAUAGGUUUGGAGGAUUACAAAAUAGGCUCAUGUGUGAGUCAAAAUUUGUUCAUAGAUGAGACAUGCCAGCUGACAACCCGUCUUCAGCGUAAGUAAUGAAGUUCCCUAAGAAAACAUGAAGGCUUUUAUUGUUGGUGAAGUCAAAAGCUGGAGCCUCAAUCUGCACAAUCAACUACAGUUGCAGAGAUGGAAGAAACUUCCAAAGAGACUACAAUACAUGAAUUGAACAUGUAUUACAUACAUGAAUCAUCAAUAUUUGGAGGAAAUGACAUACCUGAUAUGGUUGUACUGAUAAUUGACCGAAGAGGCAUGCCAUGUGUGAUAUGUAAUCCGGCUUAACAUGUAUUACAUGCAUGGAACAUCAAUAUAUGCAUUAACAAGCAAAACAAAAGGCACACAAAGUAAGAGGUGCCAUUUAUUGAAGGAGACAGUAAGAGGCACCUCACCAACUAAUUUGGUAUGCACACCAAUGUGAAUAAUACUAUGCUAAGGAUAUUUGUAUAUGCCAUUGACAAGUUUCUGGAUAUAGUCAAAAAAAUAUAUUUAUUCUCUGCACCUCACGAUUAAAUGAGAAACAUGUAUUAUAUGGUGCCUACAAGUAAUCAAGAUCAUCACUGGAGUUGUGCUCCUACAAUGGCGAGUAGCAAGCCGCAAGCACUUUGGAUCCAGUCAACAAUGGGUGAUGCCGACGGGGCUAGAUUUAAUGGAAAAGCCAAGAGGAAGGGAGGAAAGCAGAGAGGUCGCUCACCGCCUGCUUUGUUCCAAGGCACUCCAUGCUUCCGACAAAACUCGGUUGUGCCGUUUACCUACGUUCACUCCCUCGUGACGUGUACAUGCGUCUGCGCCACCGAGAUGGGAAUAGAACGAGGAGAUGGGGCUCAAGAGACCUACGUAUGGGAGGACCGAGGAUGAGUUGUCGUGCACUAGAGCUAUAGUGAUUAGGGUUGGGGAUAUUAGAGAGAACUAGCAAAAGAGCCCGUGCGUUUCAACGGGAAAAAACUACCACUGGCCCCUAAUCGAAUGAUCAUGACUCAAGAACUCAAUAGUCCACUUCCUUUAUUUGAACAUGGUAUUAGCAAUUGAACCCGUGAGUUGCAAUCAUAGAAAAAAUACCACACGCCGCUAACCUAAUAACCAUGACUCAAGACCCAAAUAGGUCCACGUGCAUCCAACCUGUGUUGUGGCUUAUUGAUACGUCCAUUUUGCAUCAUGCUUUUAUAUUGAUAUUUAUUGCAUUAUGGGCUGUUAUAACACAUUAUGGUACAAUUUAUGCCUUUUUCUCUUAUUUUACAAGGUUUACAUAAAGAGGGAGAAUGCCGGUAGCUGGAAUUCUGGACCGGAAAGGAGCAAAUCUGAGAGACCUAUUCUGCACAACUCCAAGAGUCCUGAAAAUUUACGGAGAAUUAUUUUGGAAUAUAUAAAAAAUAUUGGGCGAAGAAAAUACCAGAGGGGACCCACCAGGAGGCCACAAGCCUGGGGGGCGCGCCCUACCCCCUGGGCGCGCCCCCGUGGCUUGUGGGCCCCCUGGCAGGCCUCCGGUGCCCAUCUUCUGCUAUAUGAUGUCUUUUGACCUGACAAAAAUCAAGACAGAGCUUUCGGGACGAAGCGCCGCCGUCUCAAGCCGGAACUUGGGCAGAAUCAAUCUAGGGCUCCAGCGGAGCUGUUCUGCCGGGGAAACUUCCCUCCCGGAGGGGGAAAUCGAAGCCAUUGUCAUCACCAAUGAUCCUCUCAUCGAGAGGGGGUCAAUCUCCAUCAACAUCUUCACCAGCACCAUAUCCUCUCAAACCCUAGUUCAUCUCUUGUAUCCGAUCUUUGUCUCAAAACCUCAGAUUGGUACCAGUGGGUUGCUAGUAGUGUUGAUUACUCCUUGUAGUUGAUUCUAGUUGGUUUAUUCGGUGGAAGAUCAUAUGUUCAGAUCCUUAAUGCUAAUUAAUACCCCUCUGAUUAUGAACACGAAUAUGCUUUGUGAGUAGUUACGUUUGUUUCCGAGAAGUCUUGUUAUAAGUAAUCAUGUGAAUUUGGUAUUCGUUCGAUAUUUUGAUGAGAUGUAUGUUGUCUCUCCUAGUGGUGUUAUGUGAACGUCGACUACAUGACACUUCACCAUGAUUUGGGCCUAGGGGAAGGCAUUGGGAAGUAAUAAGUAGAUGAUGGGUUGCUAGAGUGACAGAAGCUUAAACCCUAGUUUAUGUGUUGCUUCGUAAGGGGCUGAUUUGUAUCCACAUGUUUCAUGCUAUGGUUAGAUUUAUCUUAAUUCUUCUUUCGUAGUUGUAGAUGCUUGCGAGAGGAGUUAAUCAUAAGUGGGAGGCUUGUCCAAGUAAGGACAACACCCAAGCACCGGUCCACCCACAUCUCAAAUUAUCAAAGUAACGAACGCGAAUCAUAUGAGCAUGAUGAAAACUAACUUGACAACAAUUCCCAUGUGUCCUUGAUACGUCUCCAACGUAUUUAUAAUUUAUGAAGUAUUCAUGCUGUUAUUUUAUCAUUCUUGGAUGUUUUAAAUCAUUUUAUAGCAACUUUAUAUCAAUUUUUGGGACUAACCUAUUGACCCAGUGCCCAGUGCCAGUUGUUGUUUUUGCUCGUUUUUUACAUCGCAGGAAAUCAAUAUCAAACGGAGUCCAAACACCGCGAAAGUUUAUUGUGGAUUUUUUAUGGACCAGAAGACCACCAAUGGGCCAGAGCAACACCUGGGGGGUGCCCCAAGGGGGUCACAACCCACCAAGGCAUGCCUAGGGGCCCAGGCGCGCCCAGGUGGGUUGUGCCCACCUCGGUGGCCUCCCGCACCCCUCUUUACCCUAUAAAUUCACAAAUAUUCUGAAAACCCUCGGGGUUAACCUAGAUCAGAAGUUCCACUGCCGCAAGGCUCUGUAGCCACCGAAAACCAAUCUAGACCCUUUCCGGCACCCCGCCGGAGGGGGGAAUCAUCACCGGUGGCCAUCUUCAUCAUCCUGGCGGCCACCAUGAUGAGGAGGGAGUAGUCUACCCUCGGGGCUGAGGGUUUGUACCAAUAGUUAUGUGUUUAAUCUCUCUCUCUCUCUCUCUCUCUCUCUCUCGUGUUCUCGAGAUGUCACGAUCUUGAUGUAUCGCGGGCUUUGUUAAUAUAGUCGGAUCAUAUGCUGUUUUCCCCUCCCUAUCUUGUUGUGAUGAAUUGAGUUUUUCCCUUUGAGAUUUCGUUGUUAUCGGAUUGAAUACUUUUAUGGAUUUGAGAACACUUGAUAUAUGUCUUGCAAUUGAAUACUCGUGGUGACAAUGGGGUAGCGUAUUGAUUCACUUGAUAUAUGUUUUGACACUCAACUCGCGGAUUCCCGAGGUGACAUUGGGGUAAUCUAUGCAUAGGGGUUGAUGCACGUUCUUGUCUUUGUUUCUCUGGUAGAAAUCUUGGGGCACUCUUUGAAGUUCUUUGUGUUGGAUUGAGUAUUAUGAAUAUGAAUUUGCUUUGGUGUUAUUUUAGUACGAACUCUAGGAUAGAUCGAACGGAAAGAAUAGCUUUGUGUUAUUUUAGUACGAACCCUUGAAUAGAUCGAACGGAAAGAAUAGCUUUGAGGUGGUUUCAUACCCUACAAACAAUUUAUUCUUAUGUUCUCCGCUAGAUGGGAACUUUGGAGUGAUUCUUCAUCGCACUUUGAGGGAUGGUUAUAUGAUCCAAUUAUAUUAGCAUUGUUGAGAGGUUGCACUAGUGAAAGUACGGACCCUAGGCCUCAUUUUCAAGCAUUGCAAUACCGUUUUUGUGCCCGUUUACUAUUUGCCACCUUGCUGUUUUUAUUUAUUCAGAUUAUAAAAAUAUAUUUCUACCAUCCAUAUUGUACUUGUAUCACCAUCUCUUCGCCGAACUAGUGCACCUAUACAAAUUACCAUUGUAUUUGGUGUGUUGGGGACACAAGAGAUUUAUUGUAUUUGAUUGCAGGGUCGUUUGAGAGAGACCAUCUUCAUCCUACACCUCCCACGGAUUGAUAAACCUUAGGUCAUCCACUUGAGGGAAAAUUGCUACUGUCCUAGGACCUCCAAGCGCAGAGUUUUGUAGGACAGUAGCAAUUUUUACUCAAGUGGAUGGCCUAAGGUUUAUCAAUCCGUGAGAGGUGUAGGAUGAAGAUGGUCUCUCUCAAAUGACCCUGCAAUCAAAUACAAGAAAUCUCUUGUGUCCCCAACACACCCAAUACAAUGGCAAAUUGUAUAGGUGCACUAGUUUGGCGAAGAGAUGGUGAUAAAAGUGUAAUAUGGAUGGUAGAAAUAUAUUUUUAUAAUCUAAAUAAAUAAAAAUAGCAAGGUAGCAAAUAGUAAACGGGCACAAAAACGGUAUUGCAAUGCUUGAAAAUGAGGCCUAGGGUCCGUACUUUCACUAGUUCAAUCUCUCAACAAUGCUAAUAUAAUCGGAUCAUAUAACCAUCCCUCAACGUGCAACAAAGAAUCACUCCAAAGUUCCUAUCUAGCGGAGAACAUAAGAAUAAAUUGUUUGUAGGGUACGAAACCACCUCAAAGCUAUUCUUUCUGUUCGAUAUAUUCAAGAGUCUGUAGUAAAAUAACACAAAGCAAUUCUUUCCGUUCGUUCUAUCCUAGAGUUCGUACUAAAAUAACACCAAAGCAAAUUCAUAUUCAUAAUACUCAAUCCAACACAAAUAACUUCAAAGAGUGCCCCAAGAUUUCUACCGGAAACAAAGACAAGAACGUGCAUCAACCCCUAUGCAUAGAUUACCCCAAUGUCACCUCGGGAAUCCGCGAGUUGAGUGCCAAAACAUAUAUCAAGUGAUCAAUACGAUACCCCAUUGUCACCACGAGUAUUCAAUUGCAAGACAUAUACCAAGUGUUCUCAAAUCCAUAAAAGUAUUCAAUCCGAUAACAACGAAAUCUCAAAGGGAAAAACUCAAUUCACACAACAAGAUAGAGAAGGGAAAACACCAUAUGAUAUGACUAUAUUAACAAAGCCCGGGAUACAUCAAGAUUGUGACAUCUCAGGAACACGAUAGAGAGAGAGAGAUUAAACAUAUAGCUACUGGUACAAACCCUCAGCCCCGAGGGUAGACUACUCCCUCCUCAUCGUGGGCUGCCGGGAUGAUGAAGAUGGCCACCGGUGAUGAUUCCCCCCUCCGGCAGGGUGCAGGAAUGCGGUCUAGACUGCUUUUCGGUGGCUAAAGAGGCCUGCGAUGGCGUAACUUCUGAUCAGGUUAACCCCGAGGGUUUUCGGAAUAUUUGUGAAUUUAUAGGGUAAAGAGGGGGUGCGGGAGGCCACCGAGGUGGGCACAACCCACCUGGGCACGCCUGGGCCCCCAGGCGCGCCCUGGUGGGUUGUGCCCCCCUCGGGGCACCCCUAGGUGCUGCUAUGGUCCAUUGGUGGUCUUCUGGUCCAUAAAAAAUCCACAAAAAGUUUCGCGGUGUUUGGACUCCGUUUGAUAUUGAUUUCCUGCGUUGUAAAAACAAGCAAAAAACAGCAAUUGGCACUGGGCACUGGGUCAAUAGGUUAGUCCCAAAAAAUGAUAUAAAGUUGCUAUAAAAUGAUUGUAAAACAUCCAAGAGUGAUAAAACAACAACAUGAAUACUUCAUAAAUUAUAGAUACGUUGGAGACGUAUCAAGGCCCAACACGUGUCUACAAGAAUAAAGUUGCCUAGUAGACAUCAGUCCUCGGCAGCGCUUUUCUUUAUAUACGAGUUCGUCUAGGCUUGUCCUUUGCUACAAAAAUAUUGGGCCACCUUGCUGCACCUUAGUUACUUUUGUUACUUGCUACCCGUUACAAGUUAUCUUAUCACACAACUGUUUGUUAGUGCCUGCAGAGAAUACCUUGCUGAAAACCGCUUGUCAUUUCCUUCUACUCCUCGUUGAGUUUGGCACUCUUACUUAUCGAAAGGACUACGAUAGAUCCCCUAUACUUGUGGGUCAUCACUUAUCUCCUUCCCACCGUCGUCAUCGUCGGUGUCCUCAGUGUUGGAAGUAUGCCCUAGAGGUAAUAAUAUUGUAUUAUUGUAUUUCCGUGCUCAUGAUUACGAGUUUAUACUCUAUGCUAUAACUGCUAUGAUCCUGGAAUAUGUGAUUCAGUGGAAACUCAUAUGCACGCGUGAAAUGAUAAAUUGUAAAAUAAGAUCCGUAGUCCCGCCUCUAAGACUAGCUCAAGUGUUGUUGGUGAUCAUGUUUUCCGAAUCUUAGGACAUCGUUAAGUGUAACGGUAGUUCUAAAAUAGCAUUGAGGGUAUGAUGUUAGAAGAGUGAUCAUAUUGAAUUGACCCAAAAUUGUUUGUUAUAAUUUGAGAUGAUACCGUCACAUGUCAAUAGUUAUAACACGGAGUGUUAAUGUGUGAUUUAGUUCCUUAGACCAUGAGAGUAUUGCUCAAACGACAUCUGUAACAAGGUGACCAUAACGACAACUUACAGGUUCAUCGAACAGUUUGAUAAGGGACUCAAUAGCUCGAGAGUGGAAUUUGCUGCUCCGACGAUGGUGAGAUAUUAUUUGGCAGCCAUCAUCGUCUGGCCAGACACAGGUGACUGUCACGUGGAUGUCAGAACAUGCCAACGAGAAAGAAGAACAAAACCGGCAAUGAGGAGACCGAUAUAGUGAGCAUGUGUAUGACUCAAGAGGAUAUUGAUACAUCUUACCUCAGGUUUGGGAAGUAUCAGAAGCAAAGGGAAAGGUUCACUUGAAUGUCAUUCGUGUAGUCCACGGUUCCUCUAUCGGUCAUUGAACGAACGGGUUUCGUUCAUCUCUAUGUUUUACAGAACCUACAGGGUCACAACUUUAAGGUAAUUAUGAUUUGCUGAGUGUUAGUAGGAUGAGAGUAUAGAGGAUUUAUUUGUGGAAUUAUUUCAUUUAUAUUCAAAAUAGUCUGAUAGGAACCGAAAGCAUUUCAGCGUCAGGGAAAGGGUUUCAGAGUUUAUCGGGCAAUACUGGGUAUUACGAUAAAUAAUAUAUAGGUGGAAAUUUUUUCUAGGGAUAUUAAAUUAAUAAUGAAAUUAUCUAUUAAUUUUUAGGAGGCUUUUAUAAUUAUUUAAAUAUUAAUGGGCCUCAAAAGGCCAAGAGAUGGAAGGCAACUUGGGCCACAAGGGCCCAAGAGGGGAGGUGCCCCCCUUUCGGCCUAGGGGAGGCCAAAUUUGGGUGGGGGAAGGACUCCCCCUCCCUCCUUUGGCCGGCCAAGGGGAGGGAAGUCCUUCCCCCUUGUGGCACCCCCUCCUCCCCUCCAACCUAUAUAUACUAGAGGCUUUGGGCACUUUUGGACACACAAGUUUUGGAGCCUCCUCUAGUUCUCUAGUUCUAGUUGGUCCUAGUUGAUCAAUUAGAGCUAGACCUAGAUCCUCUAAUCCUCAUAAUUAGAAGCCUAGUGUGGCUCUAAUCUCCUCCCUCUAAUUCUUUGGCAACGAUUAGCUCUAGAUGGCAAAGCGCUACGGAUCAUGAAGAUCGUACGCUUGCAAGUUGUAGAGGGACCAUGCUUUCGGUCUUCCGUUCAAGGGGCUGUUCGGGGAAGGUUAGCCGGAUCGUUCAUGCACGGUUUGAGGGACUCCAAGUAUGAUCUUCCUUGCUAAUGCCACCCGACUUCCUCGCUAAUGCCAACGGCCACCACUUUCAUGCAUAAGGACUUACAAACUUUAACACCGAUAUUCAUGCUUAGCUCUAAUUAUUUACUAACACACUCACAUAUUACAAUCUCACUAUAGCAAAACUAUUACAAGGAAUCAAACUUAUCAUAUUCAAUGAUCUACAAGUCCAUGUUAGUUUCUGUUAUACCACCUUCAUAUACCUAUCAUUUUCGGACCAACCAUAUAAAUCCUGUGAAUUACCACUUACUAUUUAACUCUGAAAAAUAUUUAAGUGAAGCAAGAGAGUGCAAAUAAUUUCUACAAAACAUAUCUCCAUGCUCAAACAAAUAUAAGUGAAGUACUAGAGCAAUUGCCUCAACUCAAAUAGAUAUAAGUGAAGUACGGAUGAGCAUUCUAUAAAUUUAAGAUGAAUGUGUGUCUCUCUUAAUAGGUGUGAUUAGGAAAAGAUGAUUGCAAAGAUCAGCAAACAAAACUAAAAUAAAAAAAAG